CCUACGGGAGGCAGCAGUGGGGAAUAUUGGACAAUGGGGGGAACCCUGAUCCAGCGACGCCGCGUGAGUGAAGAAGUAUUUCGGUAUGUAAAGCUCUAUCAGCAGGGAAGAAAGAAAUGACGGUACCUGACUAAGAAGCCCCGGCUAACUACGUGCCAGCAGCCGCGGUAAUACGUAGGGGGCAAGCGUUAUGCGGAUUUACUGGGUGUAAAGGGAGCGUAGACGGCGAUGCAAGUCUGAAGUGAAAGGCGGGGGCUCAACCCCGGGACUGCUUUGGAAACUGUAUGGCUGGAGUGCAGGAGAGGUAAGUGGAAUUCCUAGUGUAGCGGUGAAAUGCGUAGAUAUUAGGAGGAACACCAGUGGCGAAGGCGGCUUACUGGACUGUAACUGACGUUGAGGCUCGAAAGCGUGGGGAGCAAACAGGAUUAGAUACCCUGGUAGUC
rnacentral:rRNA from 1 species